ACUAGAGCUCUCAAAAACCUAACCAUGUGGCUCAAGUUUUUCACUGAAACUUGAAGGAGAAGAGCUCGACUUCCAUCCUUUUUAGAACUACUCAAGAAAGCAGCCACACAUAUACAAACAAGCAGAAUGUAGUAGAAAGAGGAGAAAGAAGACUCACCGGAUCUCAAACUUCCUCAAAGCUCAUACUUGCACCACCGUGCGCAGCUCCGUCACCGCUGUCGAAGCAAGCGGCCGCUGCCAUCAAUUUGUUCGAAAGCUUCAUUUCUCCAACUCUCCUGUAAGGUAUCCUUUCCCCUGAUUUCGUUUCUUGCUUCCAUUUUGUAUUUCGGUAUUGAUUCGAGGUCAAUUUCUGAGUUAGAACGUUUAGGGUUUCAUUGCUUUCCCUUUAGAUUUAGGCUUAUAUGUUGUUUGUUUGUCUAUGUGAAUUCCAUAUUUGGAUUGAGGGUAGUGAAAGGAGUCGGGUGGUGUUAUUUUGAGGAGCUCUGUCGAGGCCGCUGCCGUAGGGCGAUUUCCAGCACGGUGGAGUCGUCUUCUCUGCGACUUAUCUCUUCCAAUUUCUUUUCGAUUUGUUCGAUUCACGUUAGUUUUCGUUCAACUUCAUGUUUUAUUAACCUAAUUUGUUUGAUUUUUACAGAGAUUAAGACGAAUUCUAAAAGGGAAAACGAAACCCUAGUUGUGAAAAAACGAUUUGUAGACAUAUUCUCCAAUGACACUGUCUACUGCUCGGGAUUUCUGGACUCUAAGAUACACUACUAAUCUUGAGAAUGGAAGUAUUGUGAUAUCCUUAGUUUGCAGCAGGAUUAAGAGCAGUGGAAUUGCUACUUGAGUAGCUAUGUAUGCAUAAGGAGGUUGAUUUUUCGAUGGACUGCUAGAGAAACUGAAAGUGGACCAAUGCAAGGUGUAUUUGAAGAAUAAUGGUCUAAGGUUAACUGGAAAUAAGGACGGACACGCUUAUCCAGCAUAUAAAGGAGCAUCAGGAGAUUAUAAAUGGUGGAGGGGAGAAAAAAUACCUGCCUCAUAGCUUUGUUUUGAAUUGUAAAGGUGACGCAUGCACCGGUGAUGUUGUUUUGUUUGAGCAGAAUGUGUAUGAAAUGUUCAACAUAGCAUCUAGGAGUGCCAGCGGUCCACCGUGUGGCACAAGGAUAUUUGCAGGCUACAUGGUGAAAGAAAG